GAUGAACGCUGGCGGCGUGCCUAAUACAUGCAAGUCGAGCGAACAGACGAGGAGCUUGCUCCUCUGACGUUAGCGGCGGACGGGUGAGUAACACGUGGAUAACCUACCUAUAAGACUGGGAUAACUUCGGGAAACCGGAGCUAAUACCGGAUAAUAUAUUGAACCGCAUGGUCCAAUAGUGAAAUACGGUUUUGCUGUCACUUAUAGAUGGAUCCGCGCCGCAUUAGCUAGUUGGUAAGGUAACGGCUUACCAAGGCAACGAUGCGUAGCCGACCUGAGAGGGUGAUCGGCCACACUGGAACUGAGACACGGUCCAGACUCCUACGGGAGGCAGCAGUAGGGAAUCUUCCGCAAUGGGCGAAAGCCUGACGGAGCAACGCCGCGUGAGUGAUGAAGGUCUUCGGAUCGUAAAACUCUGUUAUUAGGGAAGAACAAAUGUGUAAGUAACUAUGCACGUCUUGACGGUACCUAAUCAGAAAGCCACGGCUAACUACGUG
rnacentral:rRNA from 1 species